AUUGAUCGCUGGCGGCAUGCCUUACACAUGCAAGUCGAACGGUAACAGGUCUUCGGAUGCUGACGAGUGGCGAACGGGUGAGUAAUACAUCGGAACGUGCCUAGUAGUGGGGGAUAACUACUCGAAAGAGUGGCUAAUACCGCAUGAGAUCUACGGAUGAAAGCAGGGGAUCGCAAGACCUUGUGCUACUAGAGCGGCCGAUGGCAGAUUAGGUAGUUGGUGGGAUAAAGCUUACCAAGCCGACGAUCUGUAGCUGGUCUGAGAGGACGAUCAGCCACACUGGGACUGAGACACGGCCCAGACUCCUACGGGAGGCAGCAGUGGGGAAUUUUGGACAAUGGGCGAAAGCCUGAUCCAGCAAUGCCGCGUGCAGGAUGAAGGCCUUCGGGUUGUAAACUGCUUUUGUACGGAACGAAAAGCCCCGGGUUAAUACCCUGGGGUCAUGACGGUACCGUAAGAAUAAGCACCGGCUAACUACGUGCCAGCAGCCGCAGUAA
rnacentral:rRNA from 1 species